UACGUAGGGGGCAAGCGUUGUCCGGAUUUAUUGGGCGUAAAGAGCGUGUAGGCGGCUUUACAGGUCCGUUGUGAAAACUCGAGGCUCAACCUCGAGACGCCGGUGGAAACCGUAAGGCUAGAGUCCGGAAGAGGAGAGUGGAAUUCCUGGUGUAGCGGUGAAAUGCGCAGAUAUCAGGAGGAACACCUAUUGCGAAGGCAGCUCGCUGGGACGUAACUGACGCUGAGACGCGAAAGCGUGGGGAGCAAACGGG
rnacentral:rRNA from 1 species